rnacentral:rRNA from 1 species
GGGGGACACAGAUUUUUUUUGUAAGGAGAGGGGGCUGGGGCUCGCCGCCUCGCGGCGGAGGCGGCCGGCGGCAACGACGGCAGCAGCUGGUGGAGGACCACGACGGCAGCUUCUAGUAGAGCGGUAGCUGGUGCUUCGAUAACCUGAGCUCCGUUCCUCUUCGACUCCUCCCUCGCGGCGCAGACGUCGACGGGCGGCAACUCAUCUCCCAGCUGGCGGCAGAGAUGGACGGGCAGCAGCUGGUGGAGGAGCGGCCUAGCGGAGGCAGCUGGUCUCUGCCGGUGUUUAGACCUCCUGCGCCCCCUACCUCGGCCAGGCCUGCGCGGACGUGGACGUGCGCUCGACAACGAUGGCCCGUUCUAGUUAAGUAGAAGGUUCACUUCACACUGACGAAUCCUCGUUGCUUCCAGAACGCUACGUCUCUAGAACUUUAACGACCCGUUGUACGUUUAACGGUGACGGUUGCGUCGAGAGAAGUUCCUCUUCUUCCCGUUGGUGUGCCGUUCGUAACAUUUUCGUUAGAGUUUAACUGUUUUUUUUUUUUCCUCUUCUUCCCGUUCGAAACCCUAUCUCUUGUAUUUUGACUUCCAACAAUUGGACUUACCACUGAGGUGCCACGAUCCUCGUAACGUUUGACUUCAGUCACGGAAUCUCUCUGUGUGGGACAGUGACCGGUUCCUAACGAACGGAAGCUUGUUUGAUUUCUUUCUCUCACGUCGGGUCCUGUUGUCCGCUGAGUAGGUGAAUCGCGGAGACGAUUCGCAGCUUCUUUGAGGUCGGCCCCUCGUUGCCGAGCUGGUGGUUACUGCUUCAUGUGUUCGAGGACCACCAGCAGGGCCCACGAGAACUUCUUGAGGUCACCCCUAUAGUUACACCCGAGCAUAGGGGUCGUCUUUUGAUCGGGCCGAAAGAAGACGGUCCACGGUUCUUGACGAGGUUCCAGAAGAGGGUAAUGGGAGGACACCAGGAGCAUACAGUCGAGGGUACGGUCACCCAGCGGGAGCGGCGACGAGGACCGUAAGACUAUUUCGCGUCGAGGGGCAGGGAGCUUGGUAUAGUAGUCGAACCACCCUACACUGGAGGUACGGGGCUUCUGGGAAGGGACCGUCCCUCGUCGUUGCUGUCUCUAGAAGAGGGUAGGAACUAGUUCGAAGUCGACGGUGUCAUGUUGUAGCCACAACCACAGCCGGGCGCUGCGCUGUGUCUACCUUGGGCUGUCGACGUACUCGGGGCUCACCUCUCGGAGUCCCCCCUCCAGGUGGAACUACGAGCAGAGGAGGACCUCCAACUUUUGAUAGUUGGCGGCCUAGGCCAACAGCACGGGCGGUCGGAGGUUGUACAUCUGGUCCAACAGAUCCGUUUAUCUUCCUAGUUCGAGACGCUAUAACAGCCUCCCUUCCUACGAGGCACCGACCCACGAACCCACUGGCGGCUCCGAGAACUGGUAAUAUCUGGGCAAGACGUCGUAGUUCUAGAACUUCAAGAACCGUCUAAACGUUAUCGGCUUGGGUGUCUUGGACACGGACCUUAGCUUAAGGUAUUUCUGAUCGUAGUGUAGUUAGAAAUUUCGUCCCAACUUCUACUGCGUCGGCGAUUUGGAAAACCACUGCUCUAAACUUUGGACCUCUCGCUAGUUAGGUAACCGUCAAGGUUUCAUCGACAUUGGCUUGAACCGCGACUCGGGUACCGUCUUUGAUCUCCUACCUCAGAGCAGUGCCUUCCACUUUAAGACUGCUAGGGGGUACUACUACCCUAGCUACGUCAUCCGGUACACGUGCAGCGAGCGGACACCAACCGCUCUAAACUAGGUUUUCCUCCUUGGGCUACGUCGCCGGUAGUCCAAGAACCUACGCGAACGCAUCGCCUUCUACAGAGCGCUCCCCUCUGCUCGCUUGUCGAGGUCAUGCUCUAGGACCCUCUCGAGGAGGAGGCUAGGGAGGAGGAGGCUAGAGAAAGAGAAGAAGGAGGGCCGGAGGAGGACCUGUCCACCGAAGAAGGGACUUAGGUACCGCUUUGACCGCUUUGGAUCGCCAACAGUCGAGACUGCUCUAUGCUUAGGGGGACGCGCCGACGCGGAGCACAUAAAUAUUCCUUAGCGUCGGUGCCUUUUCCAAAAGGAAAGAAAACAAAUCAUAUCCCUUAGUCUUUUCUUUUUUCAAGCCCCUAUGAUCGGCAUCCUGAUGGAUAAGAAAAGGGAGGUAACGUGACGAAGGAAUGGUAUAUGGGGCAAGGAUU